GAAAAAACCCGUCACACCCAAAAACACGCGAGGCAGACUCAGUACAGGAAGCACGGUGUGCUUUAAGAUAUCUGCACACUGGUGAAUAAACAACAUUACUGUGGCAUCAUGGGGGUUCACGGACUUACAAGUUUUGUGGAAGGAAAUCAUCAGUUUUUAACAGAAAUGAGACUACGAGACUGCCGCCUUGUAAUAGAUGGGUGUAGUUUGUAUUUUCAAUUGUAUUUCAAAUCGGGAUUGGAUCAAGCACGAGGUGGAGACUACGACUUGUUUGCGGUGUUGGUUCGACAGUUCUUUGCUGCACUCUCAGAAUGUGCUGUGCAGCCUUACGUGGUGGUGGAUGGCGGAAUGGAUCAGACAGACAAGAAGUUCAAGACACUGCAGGAACGAACCCAAAGCAAGAUCCGAGAGGCUCACUCUCUUUCCAGAGGAUCUCAUGGUUACAUUCUCCCGCUACUUGCAAGAGAAGUCUUCAAACAGGUCCUUUUUGAGCUUGGCGUGCCAUUGGUGCAAUGCAUUUCUGAAGCUGAUUUUGAAAUAGCCUCUCUUGCUAAACAAUGGGGAUGUCCCGUUCUGACCAAUGACAGUGACUUCUUCAUUUUUGACCUGAAAGGAGGCUACCUACCAUUUUCAUUUUUUCAGUGGAAUAACGUCAGCGGUAAGUCUGCAGAACGCUACAUCCCUGCACGUCAUUUCACCGUGAACCGCUUCUGCAUGCAUUUCAACCACAUGAACAAGCAGCUCCUCCCUCUGUUCGCUGUUAUUACUGGAAACGACUACACACCUGGUAAAAUAACUGACAUUUUUUUCAGUCGUGUGGAGUUUGAAAGAGUUCCAUCGGGUCGGAAGUCUGGACGAAGUUCCAGUCCUCGAAUUGAGGGAUUUUUGCUCUGGCUGUCUCAGUUUGCCAACCCGGCAGACGCUCUAGAGAUGGUUUUGGUGAUAUUAGGUGGACAACAGAAAGGAAACUUGCGUGCUCAGCUUUCCACAAGACUGAAAGACUACCAGCUUCCUCAAAACAGCAGCCUGGCUCAGUAUUUUUUAAAUCCCCAACCUGCACUACCAGAUACCCAGGGGCUCCCAGUGGCUCUGGUUUCUCAACCAGAGUGGCUUUUAAAGAUGAUUGCAUCAGGACAACUGUCCUCAUUUGUCUUGGAUGUGCUUGUUCACCAGAAGGUUCUGCUGGUUGCGCAGGUGGAAAAUAGUCACCUGGCUAGCAGUCACAUGACCUCACUGAGUAUUCGAAAGACCAUCUACAGCCUUCUGCUUGAUAAGCCAAAACAGGAGAGUCAGAUGCCACAGACGAGCACCCAGAAAGGAAGAGGACAAGGGGACAUGACCAAACAUUCUCAGGGUAAAGGAGGUCUGUUUUACACUCCUUGUGUUGAUGAGUAUGAUAGACAUGAACUGAAUCUCAAGAAAAACACGGUGGAGGCUCACCAACCUGCCUCUGUGCCACAACUAUAUCUUACAGCUAUUGACAAGGCGUCUGCACAAGUGAGGCUGCAGGUGUUGUUGGGAGCACUGGGUGUGAUGGAACACAUUUUACAGCCAUUACCUUCUCAACUUUGCCUUGCAGUGUGUGUGACGUUUUUUUGGAUGAAUAACUGCAAACCAAAGCCCACUCAGCCACUACUCCAAGCAAUAUUGCUGGGAUUUGUGUACGGGGAGCUCAGCUGGAGAAGAACCCAUCCUAAUGACCCACUGUUUGGCAGCAAAGCUUCAGCUUCUGUAUGUCAGCGAUUAUCUCAGCUAAGGGUCAAUCCAGGGCAAAGGAGGGGUCUUGAUCUGGGUGUGGCCCAUUUGCUCAGCCAAUGGCAGUCCUGUAUGUGGGUGACGAUGUUCCUGAACCAGUUAUUGUGUUUUCCGCUACCUGAACCUCAGUGUGCCUGGGUUUUCAGCGGUUCUCUGCUGCAUGGUCUGGAAGCUGCCAUAAGAGGGGGUCAGCAGUCGGAGUCUCUGCUUGCAGGUGACCCUGUAGCUCCGCAGCUCUUCUCCAUCCUGCAGGAGGCAUUGACUGGUCCUGCAGCAUCAGCCAACAAAAGUAGAGGAGGAGGGCAGAGGCAGACACAGCAGAGAGGGAGGGGCUAUGAGGGGAGAGGGCGGAGCAAUAGAGGAAGAGGGAGGGGCAACAGAAGCAGAGGAAUGGCAUCUUCAAACAGUGCUUUAGACAACAGGUUUCAGCUGUUGACACUUGAUGACUGGCAGCAGUGUUGAGCUGAAGCACAGCUGGUUUAGAAGAGCAAACAUAUUUUAUGGACAUUUCUAUGCAGCUUUUCACUUUAUAAAAUCAUGAUGUUUUGCCUUUGCCCUUUGCAGAUGAAAGCAGCUAUUACUAACUUCAGCUUUAAAGUGUUAGUUCACACACAAAAAAAGAGAAUUCACUCACUAUUUACUCAUCCUCAAGUGGUUUCAAACCUUCAUAAGAUUCUUUGUUCUAUUGAACACUAAAGAAAAAGAAAUCUGAAAACCUGUAACCCUUGACUUCCAUAGUAGGAAAAACAAAUAUUAUGGAAGUCAAUGGUUACAGGUUUCCAGCUUGUUUACAAUAUUGUCUUUUGUAUUUAGCACAAGAAAGAAAAACAAAUAAUAAUUUGAGGGUGAACUAUUGCUUUUAGGCCGUUUGUUUACUAUUAUUCAAAUGCUUUAAAAUGCAUUUAUGUAUUCACCAGGGUUCAGUACCAUGAAGCCAGAUAAGCUGGUUAGCCAGUUAAAUUUCAAAUUAGUUUGCAGCAGUUCUGGGUUUUAGGUACCAUAUAGGUAGAUCAGCUCAGCGGCUCCAUAAUACCAUAACAACAAAGUGGGAUUGAAGUCGAGCUGGCUUCAUGUCACCUAAAACCCAAGAAUGGUGCAAACUAAACCAAAACUUGACUGGCUAGCCAGCUAAUCCAGCUUCAUUAUAUGGCCUCAAGGCUUACUUGCACUGAAAAUAUUUAGCAGUCACAAUUUUUAAUACUAAUGUAAUUCUCUUUUAUGACCAAAAAUCUAGUUUUGUAUAUCAUGAAAUGGCUUUCUUACUUUAGGAUCAAUGUUUUUGUGCCUACUUAAGUUAAGAAAUAUUUUAUAGUGCCUUUAAUUUGCUUGUGUCAUUGAUGUUUAAUGUGAAUCUGAUUCCUGUAUUUAGGAAUUAGGUAAGGCUUGAUUAUUGUGUUAAGAUGACAGCCAAUGGUUACGCCAACACAUAUUCAAUAGACUUCAAUUUAUAUAUAUAUAUAUAUAUAUAUAUAU